GUAAUGCGUGACCAACCUGCCCCAUGCUCCAGAAUAGCUCUUGGAAACGGGUGGUAAUGCUGGAUGCUCCAACUUGACGCAUGUCUUGUUGGGAAAGUGUUUAGUGGCAUGGGAUGGGGUCGCGUCCUAUCAGCUUGUAGGCCGGGGUAAUGGCCCACCUAGGCUUCGACGGGUAGCCGGCCUGAGAGGGCGGACGGCCACAUUGGGACUGAGAUACGGCCCAGACUCCUACGGGAGGCAGCAGUC
rnacentral:rRNA from 1 species